UACGUAGGGAGCAAGCGUUGUCCGGAAUCAUUGGGCGUAAAGCGCGCGUAGGCGGCCCGGUAAGUCCGUUGUAAAAGUCAAAGGCUCAACCUUUGAAAGCCGAUGGAUACUGCCGGGCUAGAGUCCGGAAGAGGCGAGUAGAAUUCCUGGUGUAGCGGUGAAAUGCGCAGAUAUCAGGAGGAACACCGGUGGCGAAGGCGGGUCUCUGGGCCGAUACUGACGCUGAGGAGCGAAAGCGUGGGGAGCGAACAGG
rnacentral:rRNA from 1 species